rnacentral:rRNA from 1 species
AACGAACGCUGGCGGCAUGCCUAACACAUGCAAGUCGAACGAGACCUUCGGGUCUAGUGGCGCACGGGUGCGUAACGCGUGGGAACCUGCCUUUAGGUUCGGAAUAACUCAGAGAAAUUUGAGCUAAUACCGGCUGAUGUCUUCGGACCAAAGAUUUAUCGCCUUUAGAUGGGCCCGCGUUGGAUUAGCUAGUUGGUGGGGUAAAGGCCUACCAAGGCGACGAUCCAUAGCUGGUCUGAGAGGAUGAUCAGCCACACUGGGACUGAGACACGGCCCAGACUCCUACGGGAGGCAGCAGUGGGGAAUAUUGGACAAUGGGCGAAAGCCUGAUCCAGCAAUGCCGCGUGAGUGAUGAAGGCCUUAGGGUUGUAAAGCUCUUUUACCCGAGAUGAUAAUGACAGUAUCGGGAGAAUAAGCGCCGGCUAACUCCGUG